CAAAAUAAAGCGUGCGAUUAAAUCCGGAAUGUCACCUGAUGAAUCGUAUGUUUCGCAUUUGCCAUGGUUUAACACAGCCCACAGAUUUUUAAAGGAAGUGGUUAAUACCAGGGAACAUUUCUCAAAUCAUAGUUUGAUAAGCGACCAUGCCUUGAAUACGGUUUCAUCAAAUAAUCUUUCAGUGGAAAGGCAUCAUCUCCAACAAUAACCCCCCACUUUGGAAAUCCUACUGAUCCAUUUUCUAUUGCUGCCUUCAAUGAACUAUUCCUAAAAACCGUGCUGUCAUUUACACGUCCAUUAGAUCCAAUAUCAAUAUAAGUAAAACAGUAAUUGUGAUCAACUAAGGCGAAAAGUAUGGUGCUGAAAUAUCCUUUGUAGUUGUAGAAGUCACUGUGACUAUUGUUGGGACACUGUAUGUUGAUAUGCUUGCCAUCUAGUGCGCCGCAGCAUUUUGGAAACUGCCAUCUCUCUUCAAAACCUUUUGCUAUUGCUGCCCAAUCGUUUGUAGAUGUAGGCAUCUAAAAAUAGAAAAUUUACUUGUUUAGUUGCAAUAAUUUGCAUUUAUUUCUUUCAGUUUGAAGAAAUUGCUCAGUACUCUGGAGCCUCGCAAUUGGAGCAAGAGAACUAUGAUGAAACUGAAGUGGAGGCAACAUCAAAUAAAGGUGAAAUGAAUGUUAUAACCAUAUUGACGAAAUUAUUGGCGAUAAGCCAUCAAAUACCUCUGAACCACAAGCUGUUAUUAAUGUAGGCAUCAAUAGAACAACAGUCCCUGCAUUAGAGACACAUGCAGAUACUGACAAAGAAGAAGCCAAUCGAAUACUCAAGAGUUGAAUAUUCAAGAAUCAGACACCCUUCGCACCACAUUGUCUUCACCAAUCAGAGAUUUAACCAGGAAGCGACCCAUGAACGACAGUACAACAAAUGUGCCAACAACUUCACAUGGCAGCAUGAAUCGAUCAGCGACACCAAGCAUUCCACGAAAGGCAAAACAGAAGGCGUCUAACUCAAAGGAUACAGUUCCCCAAUAUGUCACAAGUGCCAUCCAGUCACUGCAGGAUCUAAAACGAUCCACUGAAAGGACUGAAGAUGAAUUUUUUCAUUUCGGAAAUAAUGUAGCCAGCCAACUGAGGCAACUUCCACUAGAUCUUGCUUUGCAUUGCCAGUCCGAAAUUAUGGCACUGUUAGCAAACCAACGUGUUACGUCGUUGCAGAGGUCACAGUCAUUUGUCAAUCGCUCACAAUUUCAUUCUGGACAUGCUGAAACACCCAUUCCACGAUACUCCUCCGAAACUAAUAGUACAGAUUCUGGGGGGCAAUAUCAGUUUAGUGAUAGGAACUACCAACAUUCCCAAGAACCAGAUACUAUAACUGCUGCCAUCAGAAGUAUUGGUGGCUUUGAUGCAUUAAAUUAAUAAUGUUUACUUUCACCUCGUUCACAUGUACGUUAUAACAAUAUUAUGUAUUUUCAGUUGCUUGUUUUUUCUAAUACAUACUAGAAAUAAAGUUGA